GAUGAACGCUGGCGGCGUGCCUAAUACAUGCAAGUCGAGCGAACAGAUGAGGAGCUUGCUCCUCUGACGUUAGCGGCGGACGGGUGAGUAACACGUGGAUAACCUACCUAUAAGACUGGGAUAACUUCGGGAAACCGGGGCUAAUACCGGAUAAUAUAUUGAACCGCAUGGUUCAAUAGUGAAAGACGGUUUUGCUGUCACUUAUAGAUGGAUCCGCGCCGCAUUAGCUAGUUGGUAAGGUAACGGCUUACCAAGGCGACGAUGCGUAGCCGACCUGAGAGGGUGAUCGGCCACACUGGAACUGAGACACGGUCCAGACUCCUACGGGAGGCAGCAGUAGGGAAUCUUCCGCAAUGGGCGAAAGCCUGACGGAGCAACGCCGCGUGAGUGAUGAAGGUCUUCGGAUCGUAAAACUCUGUUAUUAGGGAAGAACAAAUGUGCAAGUAACUAUGCACGUCUUGACGGUACCUAAUCAGAAAGCCACGGCUAACUACGUG
rnacentral:rRNA from 1 species